GCCGGGCACGGUAGCAUGUGCCUGUGGUCGCAGCUGCUCUGGAGUCUGGGGUGGGAGGAGCUUGAGCCCAGGAGUUCUGGGCUGUAGUGUGCUAUGCCGAUCGGGUCCGCACUCAGUUAGGCAUCAAUAUGGUGACUUCCUGGGAGCGGGGGACCACCAGGUUGCCUAAGAAGGGGUAAACCAGCCCAGGAUGGAAACAGAGCAGCAGGUCAAAACUCCCAUGCUGAUCAGUAGUGGGAUCGUGCCUGUGAGUAGCCACUGCAUUCCAGCCUGGGCAAUGUAGCGAGACCCCGUCUCUU
ensembl:misc_RNA Metazoa_SRP Metazoan signal recognition particle RNA